UUUCUUUAUUUCUCCUAUGUCUUUUUAUUAGAUUGCAGGAUCCAGGAAGGCAGGAACCUGGCUGCCUUUAUUACUACUGGAAGCACAUAGAAUAGGACCAGACAAAAACGACAAAGUGAGAAGAUGGCUGCCUGCAAGCCAGGAAGAGGGUCCUCACCAGGAAACAAAUUUUGGAGUUGAACAAGCCUCCAGAAUUGGACUUCAGCUUCUGUACUGAAUCCGAGGACCUCAACCUCUGUACUGAAUCAACCUCUGUACCGAAUCUACUUAUGCUUGCAGCUCCUGUCAUUCCAGUUGAAGACAGACCACAUGACAUUCUACAGAUGGCUGCAUGUAAGCAUUUAAAACCUUUGAGAAAAUACAGUGCACCAGGGAGACUAUUAUUAUGACUAUUGGGAGGAUAAUACCAAGAGUUUGGAGUAUGCUGCUUACCCAAGGUCACCACAAGCCAAACCUCCUAAAAUCAAAUGGAUCAAAAAAUAAGCUAGAUAAAGAGUGUGCUCACUUAACUAAGUAGUCUCUUUGUUAAUC